AAGAGAAAAGGACAGAAGAGAAGAAACCCGCAGCUAAAGGCAAGAAAGGCAAGGCAGCAGCAGCAGCUGAGGAAGCCCCAGUGGCAGCCCCAACAGCAGAAGGUGACUCUGAUGAAAAAAAGAGUGACAGUUAGUUCAUAAAUUUUAAUUUUUUUUACAUCAAAAUGCAUCUGGUCAUCUGUACAUUUUGUGAACAUUUGAUCACAGUGUUCUUACUAACUAGUUAUGUUGGACUUGUAUCCUUCACCAGGUGAAAGUUGCUUUCAUAUAUAUGGGAUUUUAAAAAAAGGGGGGGGGGG